rnacentral:rRNA from 1 species
ACGGAAGGCAGCAGUGGGGAAUAUUGCACAAUGGGCGAAAGCCUGAUGCAGCGACGCCGCGUGAGUGAAGAAGUAUCUCGGUAUGUAAAGCUCUAUCAGCAGGGAAGAAAAUGACGGUACCUGACUAAGAAGCCCCGGCUAACUACGUGCCAGCAGCCGCGGUAAUACGUAGGGGGCAAGCGUUAUCCGGAUUUACUGGGUGUAAAGGGAGCGUAGACGGUUUGGCAAGUCUGAAGUGAAAUGCGGGGGCUCAACUCCUGAACUGCUUUGGAAACUGUCGAACUAGAGUGCAGGAGAGGUAAGUGGAAUUCCUAGUGUAGCGGUGAAAUGCGUAGAUAUUAGGAGGAACACCAGUGGCGAAGGCGGCUUACUGGACCGUAACUGACGUUGAGGCUCGAAAGCGUGGGGAGCAAACAGGAUUAGAUACCCUGGUA